GGGACCCUGGGACAAGUCUGCCAGCAGCGGAUAUAAGGAGAUGGACAAGCCAUGUGGGUGCCCUCAAGCCUGUAAAAUCAGAUGGACCACCAAUCAGAAAAUGAGAGCUGCCCACCCUGGCCUUACAUUCUUUCAAUUAGUUCAUAAACAGAAAGGGGGAU